GAUGAACGCUGGCGGCGUGCCUAAUACAUGCAAGUCGAGCGAACAGACGAGGAGCUUGCUCCUCUGACGUUAGCGGCGGACGGGUGAGUAACACGUGGAUAACCUACCUAUAAGACUGGGAUAACUUCGGGAAACCGGAGCUAAUACCGGAUAAUAUAUUGAACCGCAUGGUUCAAUAGUGAAAGACGGUUUUGCUGUCACUUAUAGAUGGAUCCGCGCCGCAUUAGCUAGUUGGUAAGGUAACGGCUUACCAAGGCAACGAUGCGUAGCCGACCUGAGGGGGUGAUCGGCCACACUGGAACUGAGACACGGUCCAGACUCCUACGGGAGGCAGCAGUAGGGAAUCUUCCGCAAUGGGCGAAAGCCUGACGGAGCAACGCCGCGUGAGUGAUGAAGGUCUUCGGAUCGUAAAACUCUGUUAUUGGGGAAGAACAAAUGUGUAAGUAACUAUGCACGUCUUGACGGUACCUAAUCAGAAAGCCACGGCUAACUACGUG
rnacentral:rRNA from 1 species